ensembl:lncRNA ARHGEF26-AS1 ARHGEF26 antisense RNA 1
GGCCCCGCCCAGAUCCGCCUCCAUCGCAGCCAGAAGCAAGAAGCUGUCUUCCCGCCCCCGCGUGCCUACAAUCAGCCCCAGUCUCCCUGGGAAACCGACGAGCGCACCUGAGCUGGGUUCUGAGCUCCAGCGUUUUGGGGCUAGAAGUUGCGGACUAGUAGCUGAGGCGGCACGGGAGUGUAGGCGCGCGGGGUCGUUGCCGGGGGCACAGAGUGAGAACAAGCAAGGGAGCCCUGCUGAAUUGCAGCUUAGGAAGCCCUGAAUCCUGGAGUGAAGGCAGUGAGGGGCUGUGGUGUGAUCCAGGAGGCUGAGAAUUAUGCAGUGGGUGCUGUCACCUUGAAGACAUCAGCGUGAUCAGGCAGAUCAUCAUGGUACUGCAUUUCCUGGACACGAUCUUAAUUUUCUUAAUACCUCCACCGACAUUUCAAAUAGCGUCUCUAAUGCCCCAGAGACUUUUAUGCCCCUAAGGUAGUUUUCUUUCUUUUGUGAAGCAGAAGAAGGGAAAUUGUUAAAGGGAAUAUUUUAACUAAAUUUAUUUCCAUAAAACUAUCUUUGUCUUUAUAUCUCAUGGAAAGUGUUAGGUAGCCUCAGGAUUAUAUCUCCGUUGGAAAACUGUAGAUGUAAACCUUCUUGCUAUCUACAUACUUACAUAUUUUUCUGUUGUUAUUUACUUAUGAAUAGCAUUUUGAUUAUAGCAGAAAUAAAAUACAUUAAAUGACUAAGCUCAGAAAUAAGAAAAAAAGGUCAAUGGUGAUCAUUUAUUUGGAAACUAUGAUAUUUUAAUGAUAUUAAUGGUGUAAUUGACAUUUAGUUAAACAUAUUUCAUCGUAAGUAGAGCACUUUAACUCUUACGGUCCACUUAAAAUGUAAUCAUACGUUUAUGUAUUUCUAGUUAAUGUAUCAAACUCAACUGAGUAAUCAAUGUACAUCAUUUAUUUUGCUCCUAAGUUAAUACACUAAGUUAUGCUUUAAAAUUACUAAUUUGCUGCAAUAUCCAAUACUCUCUUUUAAGUCUUACGUCUGCAGAAAAGGAUAUAAACAUUUCAUGACACCAAACCCAAGUAUUUUUGAUGCCCUUGGCAGUGUCAGUUGAACAGACAGUGUCAUUUAAUGUUUGAGACAGCAUCUGAAUUCCUUUUAUUCUUAAAAUUCUAUUUUAAAAUGCAGUUUUUGGAAAGUUAAUGUGAAUAGAAAAAUUUCUAACAUUUUAUGUGCAUGUGUUUUGUUUGUUACAGGCUUAGCAUCUCAAAUCUGAAAAUUCGAAAUCUGAAAUGUUUCUAAAAUUCAACUCUUUUGAGUGCUGAUAUGACUUUCAAAGGAAAAGCUCAUUGGAGCAUUUCAGAUUUUGGAUUUUUGGAUUUGGGAUGUUUAACCAGGGUAAAAUAUAGAAUGCAAAUAUUCCAAAAUCUGAAUAAAAUUGAAAUCUGAAAUGCUUAUGGUUCCAAGCAUUUUGGAUAAGGGAUAAUUAAGCUGUAUAACUUAUAAAACUGAAUAUAACAAAAUUUCCCAACAUGUGGAAAAUGAUGUCUUUUUUCAAAAAUGUCAAUAGCAGAUACAUGGUACAGUAAGUUAGGGGAAAAAAUGAGGUUUCAUAUCUUCUAGUUUCCUAAUUAAAAGGAGCCCAUUCUGGGUUGGAAGAAAGUGUCAGUAAGAUCAUUUCUCCUAUUUGAAAAUCAUACAAAGCUUGUCAGAGUGACUCAGGCCAGGAGUGUAGCUGGGCGUGUAGCUAAAUGAUAUCUCCCCACAUCUAUAUAAUAAGCUGUUACCUGCUUUAAAAGGAAAAGCUCUCAGCAUGACUCUAAUGUUGCAUUUCUGGAAUACAGCUUGAAAAGCUCUUCUCAGGGUUGAACAGAGCAUGAAGGUAAUGGUUAUUAUCUACUCACAUUAAAAAAAAAAAAAAAGAAAGAAACCACCACAGAAAACUACUUACUGUCUUUAGGCUCUACUUUCAAAAGUGCCCUUUAUGAACGCUUUUACACUGUUGAUGGGAGUGUAAAUUAGUUCAACCAUUGUGGAAGACAGUGUGGUGAUUCCUCAAGGAUCUAGAAUCAGAAAUACCAUUUGACCCAGCAAUCCCAUUACUGGGUAUAUACCCAAAGGAUUAUAAAUCAUUCUAUUAUAAAGACACAUGCACACGUAUGUUUAUUGCAGCACUGUUCACAAUAGCAAAGACUUGGAACCAACCCAAAUGCCCAUCAAUGAUAGACUGGAUAAAGAAAUUGUGGCACAUACACACCAUGGAAUACUAUGCAGCCAUAAUAAAAGAUGAGUUCAUGUCCUUUGCAAGGACAUGGACAAAGCUGGAAACCAUCAUUCUCAGCAAACAAGAACAGAAAAUCAAACACUGCAUGUUCUCAGUCUAAGUGGGAGCUGAACAAUGAGAAAACAUGGACACAGAGAGGGGAACAUCACACACUGGGCCUGUUGGGGGGUAGGGGGCUAGGGGAGGGAUAGCAUUAGGAGAAAUACCUAAUGUAAAUGACAGGUUAAUGGGUGCAGCAAACCACCAUGGCAUGUGUAUACCUAUGUAACAAACCUGCAUGUUCUGCACAUGU